UUUCGCAAUGCCCGAAAGGGUGACGAAGCGACGCCGCGUGGGUGAGGAAGGCCCUCGGGUUGUAAAGCCCUGUCAGGAGUUAAGAAAUGUAGAUUCGCUAAUAUCGGGUCUAUUUGACGAAGGCUCCAAAGGAAGCCACGACUAACUCUGUGCCAGCAGCCGCGGUAAUACAGAGGUGGCAAGCGUUGUUCGGAAUUAUUGGGCGUAAAGAGCACGUAGGUGGAUUUGUAAGUCAGAUGUGAAAGCCUUCUGUUCAACGGGAGAAUUGCAUCUGAAACUACAGACCUUGAGUAUAGGAGGGGAGAAUGGAACUUCUGGUGGAGCGGUGAAAUGCGUAGAUAUCAGAAGGAACGCCGGCGGCGAAAGCGAUUCUCUGGCCUAUUACUGACACUCAGUGUGCGAAAGCUAGGGGAGCAAACGGGAUUAGAUACCCCGGUAGUCCUAGCCGUAAACGAUGGGCACUAAGUAGAGGGGUUUUA
rnacentral:rRNA from 1 species